UAAUUUAAAGUCUAGCCUGCCGAUGAUAAUUGAAUGGCCGCGGUAUUUUGACCGUGCUAAGGUAGCAUAAUCAAUAGUUUUUUAAUUGAAAGCUGGAAUGAAGGGUUGGAUAAAAAAAUAACUGUCUUUAUUUAAUUUAAUUAGAAUUUUAUAUUUAAGUUAAAAAGCUUAAAUAUUGUUAAAAGACGAGAAGACCCUAUAGAGUUUAAUAAAUUAUUAAAUUAAUAUAUUUAGAAUUUAUUUUAUUAAUUAAAUUAUUUAUUUAAUUGGGGUGAUUAAAAAAUUAAACAAACUUUUUUUGUAUUUUUACAUUUAUAAAUGAAUUUUUGAUCCAUAAAUAAUGAUUAUAAGAUAAAAUUACCUUAGGGAUAACAGCGUUAUUUUUUUUUAGAGUUCAAAUCGAAAAUAAAGAUUGCGACCUCGAUGUUGGAUUAAAAUUAAUUUUUGGUGUAGAAGCUAAAAUAUUAGGUCUGUUCGACCUUUAAAAUUUUACAU
rnacentral:rRNA from 1 species